rnacentral:rRNA from 1 species
CAAUAGCGUAUAUUAAAGUUGUUGCGGUUAAAAAGCUCGUAGUUGGAGUUCUGCCAGGUGACGCUCGUCCGCCCAAGUGGUGUGUACAGGGCGUGCAUCUGGCCCUUUCAAGGGGAACGUGUCUGCACUUUACUGUGUGGUGCGAGAUCCUUGACUUUUACUUUGAGGAAAUCAGAGUGUUCCAAGCAGGCUCUCGUCGUGUAUAGCUCAGCAUGGAAUAAUAGCAUUGGACUUCGUUUCUAAGCUGUUGGUUGCAAGAAGCGAGGUAAUGAUGAAGAGGGAUAGUUGGGGGCAUUCGUAUUUAACUGUCAGAGGUGAAAUUCUUGGAUUUGUCAAAGACGGACUACUGCGAAAGCAUCUGCCAUGGAUGUUUUCAUUGA